rnacentral:lncRNA from 1 species
AGAGCCUCGAAAUAGAACAAAACCGGCCCGUGGGGGAGGGGAAAGCAGGCCGGAGAGGAUGCGGGCGCUGGAGGCUCUGCGGACCCCCGAAGUGCCGCAGGUCGCCGCCGCCCUUCCGCCGCCGCGGCCUUUUAUGCGCACGCCCGGAAUGCUGAGCGUCGCCGGCCUCUGGACCCUUACCUGAGCCCCCGCCUCCUCGAACCCUACCCCCGCGCGCUGCUGACCUCUGGCUCGGGACCCGCCACAGCCUCGUCGUCCCGGGCAGACGCUGCGCCGCCGCUUUCAGCCGCUUCCCACAAGCCCCCGGCGCGCACGGCUUCCGGUCCGCAGGACGGGGGGGGGGG